rnacentral:rRNA from 1 species
UACGAAGGGGGCUAGCGUUGCUCGGAAUCACUGGGCGUAAAGGGUGCGUAGGCGGGUCUUUAAGUCAGGGGUGAAAUCCUGGAGCUCAACUCCAGAACUGCCUUUGAUACUGGAGAGCUUGAGUCCGGGAGAGGUGAGUGGAACUCCGAGUGUAGAGGUGAAAUUCGUAGAUAUUCGGAAGAACACCAGUGGCGAAGGCGGCUCACUGGCCCGGUACUGACGCUGAUGUGCGAAAAGCGUGGGGGAGCAAACAG